rnacentral:tRNA from 1 species
GCUGCUUUGGCACAGUGGUUAGCGCAACGCCUUUACACGGCGUAGGUCACAGGUUCGAACCCUGUAAGCAGCA